UUGAGGCCAGCCUGGUCUACAGAGUGAGCCUUAGGACAACCAGGGCUGCACAGAGAAACCCUGUUUUGAUAAAAGGGGACAAAAGCUUUGAGAAAAUGAUUAUCUUUGCUGUGACACCAAACCACUCCAUUCAGUGUUACAAUUUUUUAACUCCUUAUAGUAAUUGCAGUAUGGAGUCUACGCUAGAGUAGAGAAGCUCUGAAAUAAACCGUGUUUGAAAGCCUUUCGUUCCAGCAAAGGCCAGCUCUCUUUUGAGUAGUAAACACAAGUACUAAACAGCCUUUGCCUGUUAAUUCUAGUUUGGGAUUAUUGCAGGGAGCAAAUUUGUUAUUAUAUCACAUUAGUUGUCACUGGAAAGUGAUUUUUUGAAAUGAAACUUUGUUUAUUGCUAGAUCCAAGAGGUGAAACAUUUCAGGAAGUCAGAAAUAGCAUUUGAUUUAUUGGGAGCUAUCUUCUUGUGCACUGAAAAGUUUGUGGUUCAGAACAGAGCGUUCUAUACAGGAAAAUACCCACAGUUGUUAAUUCUGCCCCAUAUUUUUUGGGAAAUCUUACCUAGGAAGAGAAUUGAUCCUCAUUUGCAAAGGCAGAUUUGUGGGACAGUAUCUGUGCCUAGAAAUGACUUUUUAAAGCCUCACCUGAAAGAGUGGAGUAUAAAUAACAGUGUUGGGUUUUCUAGGCCAUUUUGAGUCUGUGUUUACUUCUCACCUUGUUACUGAGGUCGAGUGAGUGUCAGCUACAUGAAGAGUUUCGGUGCUGCAAUAUGUACCUGGGAGAACGGCUCAUGAAAUUCUGGGGUUUUUUCUUUUGUUUUUGGUUCUGUUUGUUUGUUUGCCUGGUGUGGACUAGGUGUGUUUUUCUGAGUAAAUUAUAUUCAAAAUGUCCUAGAACAUGUUCUCAUGUUCUCUCCCUCCCUCCCUCCCUCUCCCUCUCUCUCCCCCUCUCUCUUUCUCUCUCUUCUCUUAAGGUGAAUUAAAAACUUGAAGUUUUUGCAAUUUUGCUAUAGAGUCAAAAGUUGGUGAUAACAUCAUUCUAAAGAUGUAAUAUUUUUUAAAGGCUACCUAGUUAUGAACUUU
rnacentral:lncRNA from 1 species